GGUGAAGUUAGUUAAAAUCGCGUCUUCAUACUCUAUCCAAAUUUCCACCGCAGGAACUUUACCCAGAAACUAUGGACUUUGGGCUGGUACUCGGUGUGCUUCCACUGCAGUUACCAUGAUCUAAAUAAAGUUCUGGGUAAAAAAAAUGCCCCUCAGAAAGUCCCUGCUCGCGAGGUACUUGUUCAAAGAAGAGGCACUAAGUGCAGACAAAUGGAUGAUGUCUUUGGAAGGGACAACUGUGAUGGGGCCCCACAACAACCUUCUGAAUAGAGUGGCAGUGACCUUAGCUGUCUACGUGUUUAACUAACAGUAUCCUAAAGAGGCCUCAAGCACUCAAGUGUUACAAGCUCUUGGUGAAUGAAGAAGAUCUGUAUAGGGUGGUCAUAUGCGCCAUUCAUACGGGACACGUCCUCGCCAGGAUUUUAAUAUUGCCUAAAACAUCCAGGU